AUCUCUGCAAAGUGCCUCAAAUGG
rnacentral:siRNA from 1 species